rnacentral:rRNA from 1 species
UACGAAGGGGGCUAGCGUUGCUCGGAAUUACUGGGCGUAAAGCGCACGUAGGCGGCUUUCUAAGUCGGGGGUGAAAUCCUGGAGCUCAACUCCAGAACUGCCUUUGAUACUGAAGAUCUUGAGUUCGGGAGAGGUGAGUGGAACUGCGAGUGUAGAGGUGAAAUUCGUAGAUAUUCGCAAGAACACCAGUGGCGAAGGCGGCUCACUGGCCCGAUACUGACGCUGAGGCACGAAAGCGUGGGGGGCAAACAGG